rnacentral:rRNA from 1 species
CCUACGGGUGGCAGCAGUGGGGAAUAUUGCGCAAUGGGCGAAAGCCUGACGCAGCGACGCCGCGUGAGGGAUGAAGGUCUUCGGAUCGUAAACCUCUGUCAGCAGGGAAGAACGGUCACUGUGCUAAUCAGCAGUGCAUUGACGGUACCUGCAAAGGAAGCACCGGCUAACUCCGUGCCAGCAGCCGAGGUAAUACGGAGGGUGCGAGCGUUAAUCGGGAUUACUGGGCGUAAAGCGCUCGUAGGCGGUAUGUCAAGUCAAGGGUGAAAUCCCGGCGCUCAACGUGGGAACUGCAUUUGAUACUGGCAAACUUGAGUGUGUGAGAGGAUAGUGGAAUUCGAGGUGUAGGAGUGAAAUCCGUAGAUAUCUGGAGGAACAUCAGUGGCGAAGGCGACUAUCUGGCACAUAACUGACGCUGAUGAGCGAAAGCGUGGGUAGCAAACAGGAUUAGAUACCCUGGUAGUC